UUAGUUCAGAAUCUCAUUCGAU
rnacentral:siRNA from 1 species